CCCGGCCGGUGCUUGUGCCCGAAUUCCACUUCGCUCAAUUAAUUUUAAUUUAUUUAAUUAUCAGCUGUCAAAACUGUCAUCUUCUUUGCUCAUUUAGUAGUAUUUCAUCAAUUCGAGACGAAGAUUUAACCCCACGGGCCAACGAAAAUCAAGAAGAAGCCAUGGGAAGUGCGGAGAAACCGAGUUUUAAGUGGAUCUUUAUAGGAGUCAACUUCUCAAAAUGGCGGCAGAUAAGCUGAUAACAUUAACUGAUGCCUUAUCCAACGUCGACACCUUAGAUGAGCUUACGUUACCUGAUGAACAACUGUGUAUCAAAGCUCAGGCAUGCUCUGUCAUUUAUCAAGCUAACUUCGAUACCAACUUCGAAGAACGGAAUGGGUCCAUCACUGGGUGCGUCAAUGGGUGGUACAUUGAAGAAGCCACUGUCCAAGCCAGUUUGGGAAGCUUCACAUUCCUGCCACUUGACCUCCAUUAGAAUGAACUGUUGGAAGAUGGCUUGGAACAUGCAGUCAUGCUGUACACGUGGCGAUGUUGCCUUGGAGCCAUCUCGCAACCGAAGUCCAAUGAGCAGCCGAACCGGGUGGAAAUCUAUGAAGAGACUGUUGAAGUAUUAGCUCCCGAAGUGAUCAAGCUGCUUAAUUUCAUGUAUUUUCAGGAAAUUUCAAACUAUUGCAACAGUAGACUUGUCAGCCCAUAACUACAUUAAGUACUUCACAGAAGUUCUUCCUAGAUUUUCUUCAGUCUAAAUAUCUGCUUGCAACGAUACUGUUAAAGGUGUUGUGGAGUAUGUGAAUUGUGAAAAGCAGGAUGAAAAAUACUUUGAACGGCCGAAGGAGAACUGAAGAUAACUGAAGACUGAUUCUAGUUAUUACGUAACCUUGUUUGCUACUUCGAUCUUGGUUUCUUCACACAAAGGCUCAAGAACGUCUGAUGAGAUAAAAUCGGAGGCAACAUAUGAGAUGAAACUAAACAAGCUGGAAUGAAGCAAGUGGGCUUAUCCUGGAACUACUAUGAGCAAGCUACAUCAUUGGAGACAUUACAGCUGAUGGGAUAUUCUGCCACCUCUUCCAUUCACAAUACAAAUAAGAUGCAGAGAUGAAUUCAAGACAGCGAUAAAUGAUGAAUCUGUUUGUGCGUCAGUUGCUUUACGACUCCUGAAACAUAUUUAGCCAGCAAAACUGAUUGAUUUUGUUGUUCUGGUUCUACAUCAUCUUGGGCCCUGUCAAAUAGAAUAUUAAUGCAAGGUGGUAUAUUGGAUAUUUAUUUGAAUAUCUUUUGCACUUAAUUAUAGUUAUGACUACAAAUGCCAAUUAACUUACCGGUGUAAUGCUAUACAGACCAAUAGGUGUGUGAUAAACCAAAGUUUUCAUGAAGUAGAUUUUUCUUUAAGACAAUUGUAUUGAACCGAUCCUCUGUUUUUUAUAAAAUCAUUGGUAAUCAUAUAUUAGACUUUAUAAAGCAAA